rnacentral:piRNA from 1 species
UGAAGACAGAUGCAAGGGCCUUUACACCAC